rnacentral:rRNA from 1 species
AGCAGCCGCGGUAAUUCCAGCUCCAAUAGCGUAUAUUAAAGUUGUUGCAGUUAAAAAGCUCGUAGUUGAAUUUCGGGGUCAGUGGGUCGGUCGUGCCCACUGGUAUGUACUGGCCCUACUGAUUCCUCCUUCUUGAGAACUGUAAUGCCAUUAAUUUGGUGUUGCAGGGAAACAGGACUGUUACUUUGAAAAAAUUGAGUGUUUAAAGCAGGCAAUCGCUUGAAUACAUUAGCAUGGAAUAAUGAAAUAGGACGUUCGAUCCUAUUUUGUUGGUUUCUAGGGUUGACGUAAUGAUUAAUAGGGAUAGUUGGGGGCAUUAGUAUUCAAUUGUCAGAGGU